UCCUCACUGCUCGCAGUGUCCACAGGCAGCAGCAGCAGAAUCUGGGAGUUUAUUAGAUAUGUAGGAUGGCAGAUCCACUGCAGGCCUCCUGAGUCAGAAUCUGUCCUUUAAGAAGAUCCCCAGACCAAUAGGAAUUAAAUCCAAGAAGGAAGGCUUUGUAAAAUAUGGUGCAGGUCAACCACAAACAUUUCAAAGGGCACCACCAUUGAGACAACAUGGAAGUGGAGGAAACAAUUGAACAACAUUAGAGUCAAGUGAGAGUUGACUGUGAAGGGCAUGGGGAGUUUCACAGUGACUCCUGGGUUUUGAGCUUUUGUGAAGAUAACAAAAGAUGCCUCUUGAUUUUAAUUUUUCUAAUCAGCCUUCCCAAAUUUAUUAUGGAAAAUUACUUUAAGUGUUUAUACUUUCCACCUCUUCUCUGUAUGAUCUGUAUAAAAUAAAAUUACUUUACAUGA
rnacentral:lncRNA from 10 species